UCGAGGAUCUUCGGCAAUGCGCGAAAGCGCGACCGAGCGACGCCGCGUGCGCGACGAAGGCCUUCGGGUUGUAAAGCGCUGUCGGGGGGAGAAAGCCGCAAGGUUGAUCUAUCCCCGGAGGAAGCACGGGCUAAGUUCGUGCCAGCAGCCGCGGUAAGACGAACCGUGCGAACGUUGUUCGGAAUCACUGGGCUUAAAGGGCGCGUAGGCGGGCCGGACGGUCCGGGGUGAAAUCCCCCCGCUCAACGGGGGAACGGCCCCGGACGCCGCCGGCCUCGAGGGGGUAGGGCGAGCGGAACGCUGGGUGGAGCGGUGAAAUGCGUUGAUAUCCAGCGGAACUCCGGUGGCGAAGGCGGCUCGCUGGGCCCUCUCUGACGCUGAGGCGCGAAAGCCAGGGGAGCGAACGGGAUUAGAUACCCCCGGUAGUCCUGGCCCUAAACGAUGGGGACUAGGUAGUCGGCCGGCAUGGGCC
rnacentral:rRNA from 1 species